UACGGGGGGAGCAAGCGUUGUUCGGAUUUACUGGGCGUAAAGGGCGCGUAGGCGGUCGUGACAAGUCACUUGUGAAAUCUCCGGGCUUAACUCGGAACGGUCAAGUGAUACUGUCGGACUAGAGUACAGAAGGGGCAACUGGAAUUCUCGGUGUAGCGGUGAAACGCGUAGAUAUCGAGAGGAACACCUGCGGCGAAGGCGGGUUGCUGGGACGUAACUGACGCUGAGACGCGAAAGCGUGGGGAGCAAACGGG
rnacentral:rRNA from 1 species